rnacentral:SRP_RNA from 1 species
CAAGCGGCUCUCGCGAGGGGGAGCCGCGAACCGGGUCAGGCCUUAACCGGAGCAGCCCUAAGCGGGGUACUCUUGUGCGAGAGCCGCUUGGCG